rnacentral:rRNA from 1 species
AUGCGUGCUAGAGAUGUUCCAGUCUCCUCCAUUUUUCUCAUCCUCUUUGUGCUCUCCAUCGUCGUCACGCAGGCGCCAUUCUUCCGGGUUCGACGUCUGAUUAGCGAUGAUGGCGGUGGCCGCGCUACGGCGCGCACCAAGGACGCCGCCACCUGUGGCUGCGAUUACUCUGACGGGAAAUGGGUGAGGAGCCGCGCCACGGAUGCUAUGACAUACAGGGAGGACUGCCCGUUCCUCGACCCCGGCUUCCGCUGCGUGCAAAAUGGGCGGAAUGACUCUUCCUUCCGCCACUGGCGUUGGCAACCUCGCUGCGGCAGCUGCCGCCUCCCUAAGUUCAAUGCGACGGAUAUGCUGGAGAGGAGCCGGAACGGCCGGAUCGUGUUCGUCGGUGACUCCAUUGGCCGCAACCAGUGGGAGUCCAUGUUGUGCAUGCUCGCUGCCGCCAUGCCGCCCGGUUCGAGGAUAUACGAGCAGUUCGGGAAGCCUCUGAGCCGGCACAAAGGCUAUCUCUCCAUGGUCUUUGCGGACUACAACCUCUCCGUGGAGUACUACCGCGCACCAAUGCUCGUCAUGGUCGACCGCCUCCCUCCGGCGAGAGAUGGUGCCAUCAGGAGGGCCAUCCGGCUUGACGCACUACCGCGACAUGCUGCCCGCUGGGCUGGCGCUGACGUGCUCAUCCUCAACACGGGCCACUGGUGGAACCUACACAAGACCAUCAAAUCUGGAAACUAUUUCAUGGUGGGCGAUCGGUUCAACAUGACAACGGACAUCAAGGAAGCAUUCCGACGGUCUCUCCGGACGGUGAAAGAUUGGGCACUAAGCAAUCCACGACUCUCCAAGAGCAGCUACAUCUUCAGGAGCUAUUCUCCAUCGCACUACGGCAACGGGACAUGGGACACAGGUGGCUCCUGCGUGAACCAAUGGGAUCCGCUAACGAUGAUUGCCAGUGAGAGUGACCAGCAGGAGCACUUGUGGAUCAACACAAUGAUUUCGAGUGUGGCACGGAGCAUGAGGAGACGACAUGGGAUGAACAAUGAUGCGGUUUUCUUGAACAUAACGUACAUGACGGGCUUGAGGAAGGACGGACAUCCGUCGCGGCACCGGGAGCCUGAGACGCCAUCGGAUGCGCCAGAGGAUUGCAGCCACUGGUGCCUACCGGGUGUGCCGGACACGUGGAACCAGAUGAUGUACGGGCACCUCGUGUCCAUGGGAUUCGACAUGAGGUCAAUUAGAAGAUAG